UUGAAAAAUUUUUAUUAAAUAAGAAAAAUUAAUUAUUUGUACCUUGGGUAUCAGGGUUUAUUAAAUAAUUAAUAAUUAUUUAUUAAUCUCGAUUUUAUAAGAGUUAAUAAUUUAUGAAAGUUAAUGUAUUAAAAUUAUUUUAAAUAAAUUAUUAGAAAUGAAAUGUUAUUCGUUUAUAAAGGUAUCUAGUUUUUUUAGAAAUAAAUUUAAUUUAUUAAUUUUUAAUUUAUUUAUUAAUUUAUCAAUAAAUAAAUUUAUUAAUUAAAAUAUUUUUAGGGAUAAGCUUUAAAAUAAAAUAUUAUAAAUUUAAUUAAUUUUUUUUAAAAAUAUAUGCAUAGAAUUAGUAAUUAUUAAAAAUUUUGUUAUAAAUUAUUUUAUAAAUCAUAUUAUUUAUUUAUAUUUUAAUUUUUUUUUAUAAAAAUUUUAUUUUUAAUUUUAUUUAAUAAUUAAUAAUGAUAAAAUUAGUAUAUAAUUAUGUUUAAAUAAUUGUAAAUGAUAAGUUUAUAUAAAGAACUCGGCAAAUAUAUUACUCGCCUGUUUAACAAAAACAUGUCUUUUUGAGUUAUUUUUAAAGUCUAACCUGCCCAAUGAAUAUAUUUUAAUGGCCGCAGUAUUCUGACUGUGCAAAGGUAGCAUAAUCAUUAGUCUUUUAAUUGAAGGCUUGUAUGAAUGGUUGGACGAAGUAUAAUCUGUUUCAUAUAAAUUUAUUUUAGAAUUUUAUUUUUUAGUUAAAAAGCUAAAAUUAAUUUAAAAGACGAGAAGACCCUAUAAAUCUUUAUAAUUUAUUUUAUUUUUAUUUUUUAGAUUUAAUUUUAUUUAAAUAAAAUUGAUUAUUUUGUUGGGGUGAUAUUAAAAUUUAAAUAACUUUUAAUUUUUUUUUUAAAAAUCAUUAAUUUAUGAUUAGUUGAUCCAUUAUUAAUGAUUAAAAGAAUAAGUUACUUUAGGGAUAACAGCGUAAUUUUUUUGGAGAGUUCUUAUUGAUAAAAAAGUUUGCGACCUCGAUGUUGGAUUAAGAUAUAAUUUUAGGUGUA
rnacentral:rRNA from 1 species